rnacentral:rRNA from 1 species
UACGUAGGGGGCGAGCGUUGUCCGGAGUUACUGGGCGUAAAGCGCACGUAGGCGGCUUUGCAAGUUAGAGGUGAAAGCCCGGGGCUCAACUCCGGAAUUGCCUUUAAAACUGCAUCGCUAGAAUUGUGGAGAGGUAAGUGGAAUUCCGAGUGUAGAGGUGAAAUUCGUAGAUAUUCGGAAGAACACCAGUGGCGAAGGCGACUUACUGGACACAUAUUGACGCUGAGGUGCGAAAGCGUGGGGAGCAAACAGG